CGGCUCAGAUUGAACGCUGGCGGCAUGCCUUACACAUGCAAGUCGAACGGUAACAGGUUAAGCUGACGAGUGGCGAACGGGUGAGUAAUGUAUCGGAACGUGCCUAGUCGUGGGGGAUAACGUAGCGAAAGCUACGCUAAUACCGCAUACGAUCCAUGGAUGAAAGCGGGGGACCUUCGGGCCUCGCGCGAUUAGAGCGGCCGAUAUCAGAUUAGGUAGUUGGUGGGGUAAAGGCCCACCAAGCCGACGAUCUGUAGCUGGUCUGAGAGGACGACCAGCCACACUGGGACUGAGACACGGCCCAGACUCCUACGGGAGGCAGCAGUGGGGAAUUUUGGACAAUGGGCGCAAGCCUGAUCCAGCAAUGCCGCGUGCAGGAUGAAGGCCUUCGGGUUGUAAACUGCUUUUGUACGGAGCGAAAAGGCUCUCUCUAAUAAAGGGGGCUCAUGACGGUACCGUAAGAAUAAGCACCGGCUAACUACGUG
rnacentral:rRNA from 1 species